AGAUGCUAUCAUGGAAGGACAGAAGAUUAGCCCUGAAAACCCUAAUGGUGGAAAUGUUCAAGAACAUGACAUGUUUACAGUUCUACCAUCAGCAUAGUGACUGAUUACACCAGUACUGAUCAAGAAGAAUGGAGAGAACAAGAUAUGACAACGUUUUGGGGAUUUCUCCUUCUUCUUUGCAAGCAAAGACAAUUUGCAAAAUGUGAGCGAUCAGAAUUUAGCAAGAAAUUGUUCCUCAUUUCAGCAAAAUCUGCUGUCAUUAAGAUAGGUAAACAGGUUUGUGAGAAUGGAGGUGAUGGAGAACAUGAGAAUGCAAUAUAGAGAAAGAACAUAAAUUUGACACUUGCUAGAAAUUAUAAGGCUAAAAAAAUAGCUGAAAAUAAAACACAUUUUACUGAA